GACUAUACAGAUGCCUGAAAUGAUGGCAAUAAUUAGAUUUUUUAAAGGAAGUUUAAUUUUCAUGUAAUUAUAUUUUAAAAUCAGAUAAAAAGUUCUGGAAAGGCUGUAAGAAUAAGCCUGGAAAUUAUAGGUUGAUGAGCCUGAUGUCAGUAGAGGGGAGCGGGAAGUGCAGAAUCAAAUAUCGCUGUGGUGAUUGUACGUUCUAGUAUCAAUUGUUUGGCGACAAUAAAGUAAAAUAAGCAAUAUCACAUCUGGUUGACCCAGUCAUGGGAACAGCUCUGAUUCAGCUGGAAGAAUAGACAACCCCACCCGUCAAAGGACACAAUGCCUCUACCACUGCAGCUAAGCCACAUGGUGCUGGCGAAGAACAAAGAAAAAAAAGUUACCAAUGGCAAAAUCAUACAAGCCCAUUUUUACCACACUGGUCAGGAAACUCGACAUUCAGCAAAAGCCACUACUAGUGACUGUUUUAUGUCCGCCCGUCGAGUUUAUCAUCAUGUGUAGUUACACAAGCCAUCACUUUAAGCCAAGGGUUCCCAAUCUAGGAUCUGCUGACCCCUUGUUUAAUGAUAAUAGUCAUGGCAUUAAAAAGGUUGGGAACCCCUGCUCUAAUCCAGUUGUACAAACAGUGCCAUUUUCAACCACAUAUUUUAAGUGUUAUUAAUAAAUUAUAAUAAAUGUACUUUGUAAUUCAUUGUUCACGCCAACAAAUUAUAUCUGCCUCUUACCCUCAUCAUUCAGAUUAACACAACUGGGAAGUUACACCAUUUGAAGUUCAAUAGGUCCAUAAAUCAAGUGAACUAAUGUGAAGUAGCAGCUUUAUAAUAAUUGUUGCACAGAGCAGGCUAGAAUAAGCCCAUUGUAUGACCAAGUCUUACCUCACUGCCCAAGACCCUAAACUAUACAUUGGUGCAUGAAUGAACAGCACUUCAUAAUGCUGCUCAUUAGACCUCAAAAUUAAAAGUUCAAAGUAAAUGUUAUCAAAGUACCAUAUACAACUGUGAGAUUCAUUUAAAAGUAGAUUUAAAAAGUAAUUUUUAAACUAUUUUCUGCAGCCCACAGAAAGUCACUGAAGAUCAGCUGUGCCAGUUUCAAUUACAUUCUAAGUAGACACUGGCUGUGGAUAUGUACCUAGCAUGUCCUUCAAUGCCUACCUUCCAAGUUCAAUUGGUGAUGUGCACUAGCUCAGUACACAUGGGUCAACUGUAUUCAGUGGAAAACACAUAAAAGUUGCUGGUGAACGCAGCAGGCCAGGCAGCAUCUC